GACGAACGCUGGCGGCGUGCUUAACACAUGCAAGUCGAACGAAGUGGCGAACGGGUGAGUAACGCGUAGUCAACCUGCCCUUCAGAGGGGGACAACAGUUGGAAACGACUGCUAAUACCGCAUACUGAAGGAGGGGAUUGCGUCGGAUUAGCUAGGUGGAGGGGUAACGGCCCACCAAGGCGAUGAUCAGUAGCCGGGCUGGUAGGAUGAACGGCCACAUUGGGACGGGGACACGGCCCAGACUCCUACGGGAGGGAGCAGUGGGGAAUCUUCCGAAAGGGACGAAAGUCUGACGGAGCAACGCCGCGUGAGUGAUGACGGCCUUCGGGUUGGAAAGCUCUGUUAAUCGGGACGCGGUACCGGAAGAGAAAGCCACGGCUAACUACGUGCCAGCCGCCGCGGUAAUUC
rnacentral:rRNA from 1 species